GUUUAAGGAUCUGAUCGAACAAUAUUUUUCACACCGACUUAUAUUUUAACAGUUAUUUUUAUGAAUCAAAAGCAUUAUAGGGGGUCUGCUAGACAUGCUCUAACAGUUACGAAAGAGAAAAUACGAUCCGAACCCGAGUACUGGAAAACCCGUUCGCGAUUCCAGCCCGACCCGACCGUACCCGUUAUAGUUACCAAACUUUCGUGCGCCGCGGCCUC
rnacentral:lncRNA from 1 species